CUGCGCAAUUUCAAACCCACGUCCUUCGCCCAGUAGUAUAUUCUUUGCAGGCACACGUACAUUUUCAAAUGAAAUUUCAGCAUGACCAUGAGGUGCAUCAUCAAAGCCAAAAACCAUUAGUGGUCUCUUUAUGUGUACACCUGGAGUCUGAACAUCCACUAAGAUCAUGGACUGCUGCCUAUGUUGGGGAGCAGUGAAGUCAGUCUUUCCCUGCAUAUUUUUCAAAUGACCGUUUAACAACAUGGACAAUCAUAAAAACCACCCAGCCCAACCAUACUAACCAUCACUAUAAGAACUCUACACCUUGGAUCCAUGGCGCCACUUGUCCACCACUUUUUCCCAUUGAUGAUAUAUGAAUCACCUUGCCUGUACAAGGAAAGGAAAUAUAGUUACAGACAACUAAGCAGAAUAUAACAAAUUGUGUGCUUCAGAUAACUAUCACAAGUACUAACACCCUAGAAGCAAAUAUUUGAGCAUAAUUGUAUCCACUUUUAGUUAGAAAUGGACAUUUCAUCCUCGACAUGUUACCUUCUAAUAGAACACUCGAUAUUUGUAGCAUCGGAUGAUGCAACCUGUGGUUCUGUCAUUGCAAAUCCAGAACGGAUCUUUCCUUCAAGCAGUGGAAUGAGCCAUUCCAGUAGUUGUUCUUUGUUCCCAUACCGCAGCAAUACCUAUGAUGUAAAAGUAAAUGAACUAAGAGAGCAUAAAGAUGUAAAUGCACAAUGCAAGAAAAACAUACUAUAUCAUUUUACAUGCAGACUCUGAAAAGCUAUUCAGAUGCAUGACCUUUCAAAUUCAUUGAGGCAAUAAAAGCUUUUUGCAGCCAGCUUAUCUCAAACUCCUCUCCUAUGAAAAAAAGAAUCUCCAACUAUUUUAUCCAGGCAGUAUUACUUCUUUUCUUGCCAACUUUAGAUUUUAAGAGAACAUUGCAAGAAAAAAUUACUGAAUGGUGUAAGUGGUAAUUAUUCUUACAAAUAUUUACAGGCCUUAAAGAACAUGAACUCAUUUUACCUCCAUAUUUCCAGUGUCAGGCGCACCACAAUUGAACACUUGCGGAGCCCAAACAGAACGGCCCAUGAUCUCACAAAGGUAACCAUAUUCAAGGUUUGAGAGGCCUGCACCAAGUAAUUGAUCAUGUGUAUUGUUGGAGACAGCAGAGUUACUUCCAUUAAAGAUAAGUUUUCUCGCUCUUUCAGCACUAUCUAGCUGCAGAAAAGCACAAGGUCAAUGAAUUUUGUGGUUGAAACUUGUAACAUACAGUGAGGAAUGGUUAAAAGACAGCCAAGAACGAUGAGAAAAAAAUACAGGUAUCCAUAAGUUCCAAAGUCCUUCUUUCUUUGCCAUUGCCUUCAACCUCUCCUCUUCUGGAUGCACUGUCCAACGUGACGAGGACUGAGCAAGCUUGUAGAACUCAUUUUCCAAAGGAUAAAUGUGAUCUUCCAUAAACUUGAUUAAUUUUCUCCUCAAUCCCAGCACCUUUUCGCUGGGAACAAACCUCCCACCUUCUUCUGAAAAGCCCUGAACUUCGUUCUCCUUGCCAAACUGUGCUGUGUAAAUCCGUCCAAUUGGAGCUGCAUGGCAAAGAGAAAAAAUCCUUAGGCAAGAGGCUUGUAUAGAACUCUAUUGUGUAAUUCCAUUUUUCUUGACUGCCACCCUGCACAAUUCUAUUAGAUUUUUAAUAAUACCUCUCAAAUUUACAGAGCUCUAACUGGUUACUUAGGUUUCAUGAUAAGCAUUAUAUGGUUAUCAUAAAGUUGGUAGACAUAUAAAACUAAGAAAAUAUAAAGCUACCAGAUGGUGGCUGAUCUGGAAGGACUGAUUUUUUUGAGAUAAAAUCCAAUGCAAAGUCUAUCAGGCCAUUAGCUUGAUUUCCCGCAUUUCGGGCACGCUCACCUCCUGUAGCAUUACCCUGUAUUGGAGACAAAAUGAUAUCGUAUAGACCUUCCAUGACAAGAAUGUUUCCAAAAUGUUAGCAACAAAGAUACAAAAGUUUAAUGUUUAAGAGAUUACCAUAAUCCACCUACUAUGCACCCCAGCAUAAAUAGAUGCCCCACGAAACAUACCGAAGGCAACGUAGAACUUCCAUUGAUUGGCUGGCCAUGGCUUUCCCUAGAUUGCAACAAUUGCAGCAUCCAAUUUUUUUUCAAACAGUGGACUUAUACAAAAAAUCAACAGAUAAUCAUCUACAUAAGCACAAAAGAAACAUAGUUUUGGAUGCACAACUAGUUUUCUAACUUGCAACCAGAAAGUCAUCCAAACUCCACCAGAAGAGCAAUCUGCAUAAUAUAAAUAGGCUGAAAACCUAAUGGAACAUUAUUCUCAGCCAAUCAGCUUUGAUACUUUGUACACUUAUUUGUACCCCCAUCACCACCAUCUAGAUCCAUUAAUAUUUACCGACCGAGUAAAAUUUUCAACACCCAUUAAUUAACUCACAUAGAACUAAAAUUUGCAACAAUGUUCCUAGGCAAACCAAAAAGGUAAGAGAGCUUCCGAAUGAAUCUUACAGAGGCAGAGCAGUAUUCUGCCAGAUAUUCUGCUUGCGAAGGGAUUCCGUCUGGAAUUCCAGUACGUUCGAAGCCUUUACAUAAUUGUUGAUUAUCAAGGUUAAUAUCCACAAGAUAAGCCUGCCAUGAAAAUUUAACAAUUAACUUAGAUAUGUUACAGGAGCAAAGGUAAGACUUUUACUACUCAAAUCUACAUGAUUAAGUAGAAUAUUCAAGCAUCUGUAUUACAGUAUAGAAGGUAAAUACAGGAGGCAACACAGGGCUCAAUACCAUACAGCUGUAUGCAACAUCACACAUCUGGUUUCCAAGAGUAGAUAAUUCCCAGUCAAGAAUACCAAUCACCCGAUCCUGCAUCAUUGAUAGUUUCUCACCACAUUAAUGCCUCAAAAAUAUUAAAAUGUAAAAGAAUAAGAUUUAACUACAGUAACAAUAUAAUAGCAUAAUCGCUACUGCAUCCACAUUUCUUUCAGCAUAAUAAACUUGAUAGAAAGAGACACUCAAAUAAGCAUCUAAGCAUCCACAUGGAUUGAAAAGAGAUGAAUUAUAGUGUGUUCAAAUUUAUGACUUCUAAAACAACAGACCUCAAUGGGAUGAAAUACAACAUUAUCCAUGCGAAAAUCUCCAUGAACUAUUCCGGCUGAUGCUCCCAAGGAAUCUUCAGGAGGAAUAUUUUGCUGUAACCAAUGAGUGAGAUCCAACAUCUUGGGAUAUCUAGGAGAUUUACCCUCACCAGUUGAAGCAAUGUAUUGUUUGGCCCAUCUCUCUACCUAAAAAUGAAAAUAAAUCAUAAGCACCACCAUUAAGUCGUAUCAAUGGAGUAGCUUCCUUGCGCACUAAAUAAACCUUAACUGAUAUUAUCACAAAAUUUCUCUCUUCUAUGUGAGAAAUUAUACAAUACAACAAGAACUAAUAUGCAGAGAUAUAAAAUUCACUCACCUGUCGUUUACAAUAAUUAUCACGGCGUCCAUAUUUCCCUAAACCAAUAGAAUCCACAUCGGCAGUGUGAAGAGCAGCCAGCACUCUUGCAGUUUCAAGGUAUAUUGCCCUCCUCCUCAGAGGUGCUACUCCCUUAUCAAACAAAAUUUCGGUUUAAUAUUACGAGUCCUCAAACUUAUAUCACAACAAUUCACAAAGAAACCCAGAUUAUUGAGUGUGUUUGUAAAGACUUAGAAUGCUAAUUGAGUUUUAUAUUAGUCAAUUGUUGUGCUUGUAAAGCCCGGAGUUGCUACAAUAAAAUUAAAAGAAGAAGCAUUGUGAAAUAAAUAAGAACAUGCCAAAAAUGACCUGAUUUUUCAAAAAUUUAAUUCGGAUGAACUGAUGCACAUGAUUUUUAACAAACAAAGCCAAUGUGUCUACCAGGUCAAAUUUACCAAAAAGAACACAAAAUCAGAAAUAAUGGGAUACCGGUAACUUGGGGUCAACGAAAAUGCGUCCUUCCAAAUACUCCAUAAUGUAAAAUGCAGUUCCAAUUACAGUUGCAUCUGUACACAAACAGUACACUUUUGGAGCUGGAACAUUUGUGUGCUCACCUAGCGCUCGCAGAACCUGUAGAACAAAAAAAGAGAUUGAGCCUUGUGAUAGAAAACAGUAAGGAAUUUUAUCUUUCUCAGGAAAAAGCAGUAAAGAGAAUCAAUAAACCGAGAUUACCAUAUACUCUCUGUCCACGGCAUGAGCAGACGGAAGCAAUUUGCCAGGUGGCUUCUUCCUCAAAACGUAUCGUUUAACAGCGACUCCAUUAGCAGCUUCCAACAGAAACGUAGGGUUUGAUUGUCCAUGCCCGAACUAAAAAUUUAAUUAAUUAAGUAAUCAAUUAACGCACAAAAUCGAACGUUAGAAGAAAAUAGAAUAAACAACAAGAAAAGGAGAAGUGUAAAGAAUUCGGGAUAGUUACCUGUUGGACGACGAAGGUCGAAGGAGAAACAGGACAAUCAGCGACGUUAGAAGAGAUGUAGCGAAGUAAGGCGUCGCGAUCAAAUUCGUGAGCUGCUUGAACGGGUUUUAACAAGUCAGAUGUACGUAAGGCCAUCGAUUUCUAGUUUUGUGAAAGAAGUUGGAAUUUUUAUCAGUGGUUUGGGCGUUGGAGCAUAUGAACAUGAAAUGAAUAUGGGAUUGAGUAAUGUGAUGUCAUCUAUUUUGUUGCUUUGAAAAUAUCGAAUAGACACAUUUACAUGGGUGUCACAUAAUACUAUUUUAAUUAUUAAAUUUAUUGAAUUUAAUUUUAAAUGUUAAAUGAAAAUUUUCCUAAUAGAGUAAUAGACUAUUUUCUAAUAAUUACAUAUGUAAGAUUUAGUAAUGUUUAUAUUUUAUUUUAUAAAGUAUACAAAACUUUUUAAUAAAUUAACAGUUAUUAAAAAUAAAACUUUUAUAAUAUUGAUGUGAUGUCACAUUUGUGAAUUAAACAUUAUAAUCACAGUAGGAUAAGGACUGAUUAGUUAUCCUUUUACGUGCGAGUGGUGUGUGCAUGCACAUUACGCGCUAAAACAGGUAAAUUUUGUGGAGACAAUACACAGACAGGACUUGUGAGAGAGUUUGGCCAAAUUUUCGUACUUGUUUUCACAUUUUCAAUCUGAUGCAUGCCAACACGUUUCUAAUCUAUUGGCUUAUUGUCGAUUGUGUUUCUUAAUUUUUUUCUAAGAAAGUUUUGAUAUCAGAUCUAAAUCAUAAGAAGAUUUAGAAAAAAAAAAACUGAUUUUUAUAGUUUUAGCUAAUGGAUUUAAGGGGUUUUAUUUCUCUUAAUCGAGAAUCUCAAAUUAAUUGUGUCUCUAGACAUAUAUUCGCUUUUGGAAUCUUCUAUUUUAUGAAACAUGAGCUACGAGAAUGAAAUGAUUGCACUUAAACCUAAAACAAAUCAUACGUACGAUAGAGUGGUAUGUCUUGAACAAAUUGUGAUGAAAAUACAGUCUAUUUAUUUUAUUAUAAGUUAUUUAUCAUAUCUUAUCAUUCUCGAUAAAUGGACAACCUAAAAAGGCCAUGUAAAGGUGUUGGUGUUGGGCUACGUUGGAUCCAGCACAAAAAUUGGUAAAGGAAAAGAAAAAAAAAAAGAAAACCCUUUCCCUUUUUCCUAUUUUUUGUGUGUGCGAUGGGGAGAGAAGGAGAGAGAGAAAGAGAGAGAGAAGGAGAAAGAGAAGGAGAGAGAAAUAGAAGAUGGUGAAGAAGAAGAAAACGAAGAUAAAGGUGAUCUCUUUGAUUCCAUUACCUUGAUUGAGUCUCUUCCAGUUUGUAAGUAGAGUAUUUCUUAGUUUUCUCAAAUCUGAGUUUGCUUGGGUUUGGAUGAAAUUGGGGUUGGAAGCAGGUAUUUUCUGUAAUGUGUUACCUCUUGUAUUAUCUCUCUAUUAGCAGAUAUAUAUCUCAAGUUUAGGGCUAAAACUUGAGAAGAACAAUUGUAUCCGUUUUGUUGGUAUAGUGAAAGUUUGUCGGUGUGCCUGUGGUUUUUUACCUUCCAAGUUGAGAGGGUUUUCCAUGUAAAUUUGAUGUCUCUUGUGUAAUUGUGCUUGAUUGUUUAUUUACUUUGGCUUGUGCAUUUAAAUGUUGAACCUCUGGUACCAAUCGGUACGGUGCUCAAUUUAUCCAUUUCUCAUUGGUUGAUUACACAAUUGCAUUUCUCUUAUUUGGUAUUGAAAGAUAAAAAUCCUAACAAGUGGUAUCAGAGCCUCAAGUUUCCUUUGAGAGUGCUUUUGUAGGUUGAGAUAGAAGGUAGUAGCACCAUGAUCAAGUUGACAAACAACAACUGGCAGAUAUGGAAAUCCAAAAUGGAGGAUAUCCUUUACUGCAAGGAUUUUUAUGAACCGGUUGAGGAAGAUAGUGCAAAGUCGAAAGAUAUGGCCUCUGCUGAUUGGGCUAAAUUGAAUCGAAAGGCGGUCGGCACAAUCAGACAAUGGCUUGAUGACAGCGUAUAUCACCAUGUAGCGAGUGAGAUGAGCGCACAAAAGUUAUGGAAGAAGCUGGAGUCGCUGUAUGAGCAGAAAACUGCAGCUAACAAGGCAUUUCUGAUCCAAAAACUGAUGAAUCUGAAAUUUAGAGAAGGUACAAGUGUUGUUGAGCAUCUAAAUGAGUUCUAGAGCCUGAUCAAUCAAUUGUCAGCGAUGAAGAUGACCUUCGAUUAUGAGUUACAGGCUUUGUUGCUUUUGGGAUCAUUGCCGAUAGUUAGGAGACCUUGGUUGUGACAAUCAGUAAUGCAGCUCCGAAUGGUGUGGUCACUAUGAGUAUAGUUACUAGUAGCUUGUUCAACAAUGAGACAAGAAGAAAGUCAACUAAUACAAAUGGUGCACAUGCCCUUGCCACAGAGAAUAGGGGGAGAGCUGAAUACAGACAACAAUCAAGAGGUCGUGGCAAGUCCAGAGGCAGGUCAAAGUCCAAGGGAAGACAGUGCUACCAUUGUGGUAAAGAAGGUCACAUGAAGAAAAAUUGUAGAGCCUGGAAAAGACUACAGAAUGAGGGCAAAAAUCAGAAGAAAGAGGAUGAUAACAAGAAUACCACAGCCACAUUAACUGCAGAUGAUGUAGUGAUUCUCUCUUGUGAAGAGGAGCAAUGUCUACAUGUGGAAGGUCACCAAGGAGUCGACUGGAUAGUUGAUACAGGUGCUUGCUAUCAUGCUACACCAAAUAAAGAGUUCUUCGUGACUUACAAAGCUAAAGAGUUUGGUACAGUGAAGAUGGGUAACACUAGUCACUCGAGCAUCGUGGGUAUUGGUAACAUUUGUCUGCAGACAGAUAUGGGAUGUCGGUUAACACUAAAAGAUGUGCGGCAUAUUCCUGAUUUAUGCCCAAAUCUAAUAUCUGGUGAUGCAUUGGACAAAGAUGGAUUCAAGCAUUACCUAGGAGGUGGAGAAUGGAAGCUCAGCAAAGGAUCAAUGGUUGUAGUAAGAGGGAAGUCGUGGCACUCCCUAUACAGAAUCCAUGCGAAGGUGCUCAAGAAUGGGUUGAAUGCAGUACAAGCUGAAAAUUCUCUAAAUCUGUGGCAUCAACGCCUUGGCCACAUGAGUGAGAAAGGAUUACAAAUCUUAGCGAGGAAGUCACACAUCCCCUCUACCAAAGAUGAGAUUCUAGAUCCAUGCGUCUAUUGCCUAUUUGGUGAGCAACAUCGAGUCUCUUUUAGUUAAACAUCAGAAAGAAAAUAUAAGGUAUUGGAUUUAGUUUACUCUGAUGUGUGUGGUCCCUUUGAGGUGGAGUCUUUGGGUGGCAAUCGAUAUUUUUUGACCUUUAUUGAUGAUGCAUCUAGAAAGGUAUGGGUUUAUUUUCUAAGAACGAAGGACCAGGUGCUCAAAUGUUUUCAAGAGUUUCAUGUCAUGGUAGAGAAGGAGACAGACAAAAAGUUGAAAUGCCUCCGUUCUGACAAUGGCAGAGAGUAUACCUCCAAGGAGUUCAAAGCAUAUUGUGCACAAUAUGGAAUUCGAUAUGAGAAGACAGUACCUGGAACCUCACAACACAAUGGUGUAGCUGAGAGAAUGAAUCGCACUACUGUAGAGAAGGUCAGAUGCAUGCAAAAGAUGGCAAAGUUGCCGAAAUAGUUUUGGGGAGAAGCAGCUCGCACCGCUUGCUACCUCAUAAACAGGUCACCAUCUAUUCCUUUGAAGUUUGAGAUACCAGAAAGAGUAUGGUCCAAUAAGAAUAUGACAUACUCUCAUCUAAGAGUGUUCGGAUGCAAAGCAUAUGUGCACAUUCCAAAGGAGCACAGAUCCAAGUUGGAUAACAAAGCAACUCCAUGUAUUUUCCUUGGGUAUGGAAACGAGGAAUUUGGAUACAGGUUAUGGGACCUAGAAAAGAAGAAAAUUAUCAAGUGCAGAGAUGUUGUAUUCUAUGAAGGCCAAACAAUGAUAGAUCAGAAAAUCGAUAAAAAGUCAGAGAGAUUUGGUGAGUCCAUAGAACUCACAUCAGUUCCUUUACCUGGACAGCCAGCAACAGCAGAUGAAGAUGAACAUAAUGAAGAAGCCACUGAGGAAACCUCUGACAUGAUUGGUAAUGAUGGUGAUGAUGAGGUCGUUUAUGAUGCUCAUGAACAAAAGGAGCAACAUCAUCAAGGGGAACCAUAAGAGCUCCAGGUAAGAAGGUUUGAAAGAUAGCACCAACCUUCUAAAAGAUACCCUUCUUCAGAGUAUAUCUUAUUGACGGAAGAAGAAGAACCAUAUAGUUUUCAGGAGGCACAAGCUUAUAAAGACAAGGCUAAGUGGCAUGAUGCAAUGAAGGACGAGAUGCAGUCAUUGCAAGAAAAUGGAACAUAUGAGCCGGUGGAGCUUCCUAAGGGCCGAAAGACAUUGAGGAACAAAUGGGUGUUCAAGCUAAAAAGAGAUGGAAAUGGAGAAAUUGUGAAGUACAAAGCCAGAUUGGUAGUGAAGGGUUUUGGGCAAAAGCAAGGUAUCGACUUUGAAGAGAUUUUCUCACCAGUGGUGAAGAUGACUUCCAUCCGUACAGUGUUAGGUCUAGUCGCUAGUUCGGACCUUGAGCUUGAAUAACUUGAUGUGAAAACUGCAUUCCUUCAAAGUGACUUGGAGGAAGAGAUCUAUAUGGUGCAACCAGAGGGAUUUGAAGUAAAAGGAAAAGAGAACAUGGUCUGCAAAUUGAAGAAGAAUCUGUACGGAUUGAGACAAGCUCCGAGACAGUGGUAUAAGAAGUUCGACUCUUUCAUGAUGAAUCAUGAGUACCAGAGAACCAAGGCAGAUCCAUGUGUUUACUUCAAAAGAUUUGCUAAUGAAAAAUUUCUAAUCCUUUUUCUUUUAUGUUGAUGAUAUGUUGAUUAUAGGACAAGAUGCUAAGAUGAUAGCCAUGUUGAAGAAUGAGAUGUCCAAGUCAUUUGACAUGAAGGACAUGGACCAAGCGCGCCAGAUAUUGGGCAUGCAGAUUACCCGUGAUAGAAAGGCCAAGAGACUUUGGUUGUCACAGGAGAAGUACAUUGAAAGGGUGCUUGAGAAAUUCAACGUGAAAGGACAAAGGAAGUAAGUUGUCCACUUUCUAGCCAUUUGAGACUGAGCAAGAAACUAUGUCCAUCUACAGAGAAAGAAAAGGAUGAAAUGUCAAGUGUGCCAUACUCCUCAGCAAUAGGGAGUUUGAUGUAUGCGAUGGUUUGCACCAGGUCAGAUAUAGCUCAUGCAGUUGGUGUGGUAAGCAGAUUUCUCUCUAAUCUUGGAAAACAACAUUGGGAAGCAGUGAAGUGGAUACUUAGAUACCUAAGAGGCAUUUCCAAGUUGUGUUUGAGUUUUGGAAAAUGUGAAUCUGUGCUAGAAGGCUACACAGAAGCUGAUAUGGCUAGUGAUUUGAAUCAUAGAAAGUCUAUUUCGGGUUUUGUGUUUACUUUUAUAGAGGGAUCCGUGCCGUGGCAAUCCAAACUGCAGAAAUGUGUGGCUUUGUCGACUACAGAAGCAGAAUACAUUGCAGCCACCAAAGCUGGCAAGGAGCUAUUGUGGUUGACUAGAUUGCUUUUGGAGCUUGGUAUGCAACAUGAAGAGGCAGUUGUUUUCUGUGAUAGCCAGAGUGUCAUAGACUUGAGCAAGAAUGCUACGUAUCAUUUCAGAACUAAGGACAUUGAUGUGAGAUUUCAUUGGUUGAGAGAUGCUAUAGAGUACCAGCAGAUGAAGCUGAAGAAAAUCCACACUGAUAAGAAUCCAUCAGACAUGUUGACGAAGAUAGUUUCAAGAAACAAGCUUGAGCUUUGUUGCUGGCUUGUCGACAUGGAUACCAAGUGAUGACUUGAAGAUGGGUGUGCCUUUCUCCAUGGGCUGGAGGGGGAGAUUGUUGAUGUUGGGCCAUGUUGGGUCCAACCCAAAAAUUGGCAAAGGAAAAAAAAAAAAAAAACCCUUCCCUUUUUUCCAUUUUUUGUGUGUGCAUCAAGGAGAGAGAAGAGAAGAGAGAGAAAGAGAGAGAGAAGGAGAAGGAGAAAGAAAUAGAAAGUGGUGAAGAGAAGAAAACGAAGAAAAAAGUGAUCUUUUUUAUUCCAUUACCUUAAUUGAGUCUCUUCCAGUUUGUAAGUAGAAUAUUUCUUAGUUUUUUCAAAUCUGAGUUUGCUUGGAUUUGGAUGAAAUUGGAAUGUGAAGCAGGUAUAUCCUAUAAUGUAUUAUCUCUCUAUUAAUAGAGAUAUACCUCAAGUUUAGGGCUAAAACUUGAGAAAAACAAUUGUAUCCGCUCUGUUGAUAUAGUGAAAAUUUACCAGUGUGCCCGUGAUUUUUUACCCUCCAAUUUGAGAGAGUUUUCCACGUAAAUUUGGUGUCUCUUGAGGAUUGUGCUUGAUUGUUUAUUUAUUUUGGCUUGUACACAAUUUAUCCAUUUCUCAUUGAUUGAUUACACAGUGCAUUUCUCUUAUUUGGUAGUGCAUUUCUCUUAUUUGGUAUUGAAAGAUAAAAAUAUUAACAAAAGGGUCUACAAGAAGAAAAAUCAUACUUGGCCUUAGUUAUUUUCCUCGUGUGUAGAGAAGAGUUAUCAACUAUAAUGCAUUCACUCUCGUUAUAGAAUAGAAUAGGUGCUGGUAGGGACCUGCCGUACGCAUGAAUCGCUUUUCUUUGCAUUAAAAGUGAUAAUAACUGUUUAAGAGAAAAAAGAAAAUGAAAAGAAAAAUAAGUUGGUCAAUUCAGAGACGUCCAAAAAUAAAAUAAUGGAUUCCGAGACUCAUCUCAGAACAGUAGUGGUAUUCUGCCAUUGGCAUUGACAUGUGUUGUUAAUCAUGCGAAUUUUAUUUGUCAUUUAUAAAAAUCCAUAAUUAUACUCUCUCAUGUCUUUUUUCUUUUAUUUUUUAGAAAAAAAAAAGUUAAUUAUUUCUCCCCUUUUUCGAUUGUUUUAUUUUUACCACUCUCUUCCUUCAACUUCUAAAGGUAAAUAAACUCGCUUACGUUUUCCUGCUAAUGCUUGCUGCAGGGUGACGGCAGUCGAGAUUUCAGAUCCCAGACGAGGCAAGUUCUACUCGCAUGCUUUCAGAGCUUAGCUCUCUGUAACUCUAACUUGGCAAUGGUACCCAAGUGGACUUCAUCAGGGCCAUCUGCAAUUCUCAAUGUUCUUGCUGUAGCCCAAAGAUGUGCCAAAACGGUAUCCGAUGACAGGCCUGCUGCCCCAUGCACUUGCAUUGCCAUGUCAAGAACCUUCAAUGCCAUGUUUGGAGCUGCUACCUGUUACACAUUAUUCCCCAUCUUUGUUUAAUUAGUAUUCUUAAUCGUAUUAAGUUUGACAACAGUAUUAUUUAGAUAAACAAAUUUACCUUGGCCAUUGCAAUAGUUCCCCGAGCCUUUUUGUUCCCAAGCCUAUCAAGCUGGUCCGCAGCCUCCAAAAUCAACAGUCUGGUUUCUUCCACUUCUACUCGGCACUGCUUAAAAACAGUCAAUUUUACAGGACUACUAUGAAAUUCCUGGAUUUUUGCUGAAACUUAACAGUUACCCAUUUUCUUCAAGUAAAUAUAAAGAAAACUAAUCCAAGAUAAAUGUACUCUCUGACAAAAUGCUAAGUCAAAAUACCUUCGCAAUAUCUGAACGAAAUGAUCCAUGCUCAGCAAUCAAUUUUCCGAACACUCUUCUACUGAGAGCCCUUUGAACCAUCAAUUGCAUUCCACGCUCAGCAGCACCAAUCAAUCUCAUGCAGUGGUGCAAUCUUCCAGGACCCAGUCUACCCUGCAAGAAAAAAUAGCCAUGAAUGAUGUCAUAUUCACUUGGAAGCUGAAGUUUCAAACCAUAUAUGAAGUCAGCCAGCUUGAGUACAUCAAUUUUCUCAGUUAACAACCAUAUUUACUUUAAAUAUAGAAACUCAGAAGUGUUAGCAUCUCAAGAGGUUCUAAAGUAUAUUACACAUGCCUAAUAAAGAACUGGUAGAAAAUUGGCACACAUGGCGAAAUUUAUAAAUCUUGUCUAUACAAGUCUUUAUAAAUUAUAAGUAUAUAAGCUUGCACUUCAACCCUGACAACAAGUUGACAGCCUUGAAAUUGAACUAAAAGUUUGUUCAUAGAUCAUCAAAAUAUCGAAACAAGCUUGUCUACCACCGUGUUAAUCCAUUAUACUACUUCAGAAUGAAAGAACUGUCUUUACCUGGGCAAUCUCAAACCCACGCCCUUCUCCCAGUAGGAUAUUCUUUGCAGGCACACACACAUUUUCAAAUGAAAUUUCAGCAUGACCAUGAGGUGCAUCAUCAAAACCAAAAACCAUUAGUGGUCUCCUUAUCUGUACACCUGGAGUCUGGAUAUCCACUAAGAUCAUGGAUUGCUGCUUAUGUUGGGCAGCAUUGAAAUCAGUUUUUCCC
rnacentral:lncRNA from 1 species